rnacentral:rRNA from 1 species
GACGAACGCUGGCGGCGUGCCUAAUACAUGCAAGUUGAGCGCUGAAGGUUGGUACUUGUACCAACUGGAUGAGCAGCGAACGGGUGAGUAACGCGUGGGGAAUCUGCCUUUGAGCGGGGGACAACAUUUGGAAACGAAUGCUAAUACCGCAUAAAAACUUUAAACACAAGUUUUAAGUUUGAAAGAUGCAAUUGCAUCACUCAAAGAUGAUCCCGCGUUGUAUUAGCUAGUUGGUGAGGUAAAGGCUCACCAAGGCGAUGAUACAUAGCCGACCUGAGAGGGUGAUCGGCCACAUUGGGACUGAGACACGGUCCAAACUCCUACGGGAGGCAGCAGUAGGGAAUCUUCGGCAAUAGACGAAAGUCUGACCGAGCAACGCCGCGUGAGUGAAGAAGGUUUUCGGAUCGUAAAACUCUGUUGGUAGAGAAGAACGUUGGUGAGAGUGGAAAGCUCAUCAAGUGACGGUAACUACCCAGAAAGGGACGGCUAACUACGUG